rfam:Cicer arietinum chromosome Ca1, whole genome shotgun sequence.
AGAGUAUAUUUGAGCCAAAGAUGACUUGCCGCAUUCACUAUUCUUUUUAAGAAAGUAUUGUCGGCAAGGAGUCCUGGCUCACUUUUACUCU